rnacentral:rRNA from 1 species
UUUAUUGGAGAGUUUGAUCCUGGCUCAGGAUGAACGCUGGCGGCGUGCCUAAUACAUGCAAGUCGAGCGAAUGGAUUAAGAGCUUGCUCUUAUGAAGUUAGCGGCGGACGGGUGAGUAACACGUGGGUAACCUGCCCAUAAGACUGGGAUAACUCCGGGAAACCGGGGCUAAUACCGGAUAACAUUUUGAACYGCAUGGUUCGAAAUUGAAAGGCGGCUUCGGCUGUCACUUAUGGAUGGACCCGCGUCGCAUUAGCUAGUUGGUGAGGUAACGGCUCACCAAGGCAACGAUGCGUAGCCGACCUGAGAGGGUGAUCGGCCACACUGGGACUGAGACACGGCCCAGACUCCUACGGGAGGCAGCAGUAGGGAAUCUUCCGCAAUGGACGAAAGUCUGACGGAGCAACGCCGCGUGAGUGAUGAAGGCUUUCGGGUCGUAAAACUCUGUUGUUAGGGAAGAACAAGUG